GAAAUGCGAUAAGUAAUGUGAAUUGCAGAAUUCCGUGAAUCAUCGAAUCUUUGAACGCGCAUUGCGCCCUCUGGCAUUCCGGGGGGGAUGCCUGUCCGAGCGUCAUUACGCACCCUCAAGCCCGGCUUGUGUGAUGGGCCCCGGCGUCUCGUUCGCGAGACGGGCCCGAAAGGCAGCGGCGGCGUCGACCCGAUGAGCCCGAGCGUAUGGGGACUUCUGUCACACGUUCGCGGUGCGGACCGGCGCCUGCUUGACUUUUCUGAUUAUCCAGGUUGACCUCGGAUCAGGUAGGGAUACCCGCUGAACUUAAGC
rnacentral:misc_RNA from 1 species